rnacentral:rRNA from 1 species
UACGUAGGGGGCAAGCGUUGUCCGGAUUUACUGGGCGUAAAGCGCGUGUAGGCGGAAGCGAAAGUCCGGUGUGAAAGCCCCCCGCUCAACGGGGGAAGGUCGCUGGAAACUGCGCUUCUUGAGGGCGGCAGAGGGAAGUGGAAUUGCUGGUGUAGCGGUGAAAUGCGUAGAGAUCAGCAGGAACACCCGUGGCGAAGGCGGCUUCCUGGGCCGCGCCUGACGCUGAGACGCGAAAGCUAGGGUAGCAAACGGG